rnacentral:rRNA from 1 species
AGUGAACGCUGGCGGUAGGCCUAACACAUGCAAGUCGAACGGCAGCACAGUAAGAGCUUGCUCUUACGGGUGGCGAGUGGCGGACGGGUGAGGAAUACAUCGGAAUCUACUUUUUCGUGGGGGUUAACGUAGGGAAACUUACGCUAAUACCGCAUACGACCUACGGGUGAAAGCAGGGGAUCUUCGGACCUUGCGCGAUUGAAUGAGCCGAUGUCGGAUUAGCUAGUUGGCGGGGUAAAGGCCCGCCAAGGCGCCGAUCCGUAGCAGGUCUGAGAGGAUGAUCAGCCACACUGGAACGGAGACACGGUCCAGACUCCUACGGGAGGCAGCAGUGGGGAAUAUUGGACAAUGGGCGCAAGCCUGAUCCAACUAUACCGCGUGGGUGAAGAAGGCCUGCGGGUUUUAAAGCCCUUUUGUUGGGAAAGAAAAGCAGCAGGUUAAUACCCCGCUGUUCUGACGGUACCCAAAGAAUAAGCACCGGCUAACUUCGUG